UUGCUAUGAUGAGAACAUCAAUGAGAAUCUUUUGAGAGUGUUAAAGCUCUGUGAAACGUCGACAUUCAUGUCGAUCUGAGCGGUUAACUGAGCAA